CAGUAGCCGCGGGAAUACAGAGGGUGCAAGCGUUAAUCGGAUUUACUGGGCGUAAAGGGCGCGUAGGCGGCGAUCAAAGUCAGGCGUGAAAUUCCUGGGCUCAACCUGGGGGCUGCGCUUGAUACUGGGUUGCUUGAGUGGGGAGGAGGGUCGUGGAAUUCCCAGUGUAGAGGUGAAAUUCGUAGAUAUUGGGAAGAACACCGGUGGCGAAGGCGGCGACCUGGUCCUUUACUGACGCUCAUGCACGAAAGCGUGGGGAGCAAACAGGAUUAGAUACCCGCGUAGUCCCUGUCUCUUAUAC
rnacentral:rRNA from 1 species